UGCGAACCACUGUCCACAUGUGGUUGGUGAUAAUGCAUUCCUUGGAUGUUGCCUAAACUAUGCUCCAUUUUAUCCAAGAAAUAGAUGUCACUUGUGCGCGCCUCAUUGGUUCCACUUGCCCUCGGAAUUAUGUUGGAGGCGAACAAGUAAAUUAGAAGACGUUGCGACUCCGGAAAUGAUGAAGUCAAUACCGAAUAUCGCCAGUCUUCCGAGUAGUCUUGUACUCAACCCCCAAGCGU
rnacentral:lncRNA from 1 species